GGCUUUAUAUUCAAUAAUGAUAUUAGAUUGCAAAUCUAAAGGAGUAAAUCAAUUUACUAAGGCUU
rnacentral:tRNA from 1 species